GCGCCCGUAGCUUAACGGAUAGAGCAUCUGACUACGGAUCAGAAGGUUAGGGGUUCGAGUCCCUUCGGGCGCA
rnacentral:tRNA from 1 species